AAGUCGUAACAAGGUCUCCGUUGGUGAACCAGCGGAGGGAUCAUUGCUGGAACAAACGCCCUCACGGGUGCUACCCAGAAACCCUUUGUGAAUACUACCUAAAAUGUUGCCUCGGCAUUGGUUGGCCUCUUUGAGGUCCCUUUCCCUCGGGGAAGGAGCAGACCGGCCGGUGGCCCUAUAAACUCUUGUUUUUGUAAUAUCAUCUGAGUAAAAAACAUAAAUAAAUCAAAA
rnacentral:misc_RNA from 1 species